AGAGUUUGAUCAUGGCUCAGGAUGAACGCUAGCGACAGGCUUAACACAUGCAAGUCGAGGGGCAGCGAGGGAGUGGCAACACUUUCUGUCGGCGACCGGCGCACGGGUGAGUAACGCGUAUGCAACCUGCCCUUCACAGGGGGAUAACCGGGAGAAAUUCCGACUAAUACCGCAUACGUCCCCUGGGGGCAUCCCCUGGGGAUGAAAGAAUUAUCGGUGAAGGAUGGGCAUGCGUGAUAUUAGGUAGUUGGCGGGGCAACGGCCACCAAGCCCACGAUAUCUAGGGGUCCUGAGAGGAAGGUCCCCCACAUUGGGUACCUGAGACACGGACCAAACUCCUACGGGAGGCA
rnacentral:rRNA from 1 species